GGUUCUGUCUUGGGUCACUUGGAUCUGAAGGCUGCCCCUUUGCUCUCUGGGGUAGCCUUCAGAUCUUGGUGUUUUGAUUACUCGCU
ensembl:miRNA